rnacentral:lncRNA from 1 species
AUUUUCUUGUAAGUGAGCCGGGCUGAAACAAAAUCCCUCUUCCCCAAGACCCCAACUCAAUUCCACUUUCCCAUUACAAAAAAACCCAUCUCCUGAAAACGCUCCAGCCACAAAAUCGUCACUUCCGAUCGACGCGUCAACCAUUAGACAAUACUUUUUCCCUCCCUGUCGGCUAGAGACCAUUGAAUACUCGCUCACUUAGGUAAGAGAAAGCGAAGGAAGCAACGAUGUCGUUUUCGGCCUUUUUUAUAUUAUUUUUUUUCUUAACGUAAUAAUUUCUUGUUUCGUCGUAUGAUGAAGAUGAAAUACGAGUUUUGGAUCUUCUAUCAACUGUAGUGUAUGCCGAAAAUAGUUUGAUUGCACUGGGCUUGUCGUCUGAGAGUUACUGUGUACGAACAAAAAUUUGGGGCUUUAUGCUUUGUCGAUCUUCUUUCAGUUUUAUGUAUAGGGGAAAAAUUGAGUUUCGAAAAUGUAGUUUGACAAUGCUGGGCUCAUUCAAUUCUACUUCAGAUUUACUGUGUGCGAGAAAUAAUUUUGAAUUUUGCUUCAAAUUUACUGUAGACGGUUCCUUAUUCCAAAAGAAUAUUUCUUUAUAUAAUCAGAAUAUUUUGAUAUAAGAUUUUUGUUUUUGUAUACAUUACACAAUCACAUGAAGGAGGUGUAUUCACAAUUUCCUAUGUUACUGGAUAAAAGAAAAUGCUAUAGUGUUGUUUUAAAUUCUAAGCAGGUUGUUUAAUGUGGUUGACUUGGGAAUGUUUAUUUAUUGUGGUUCAAAGAAAAUGCCUAUUUUGUGAGAAUGAUAUGUUUUCAUGUUGAUGUGAUUGUUCAAUGUGGUUGAAGUAGACUAGGUCGAUGGCAGGCAAGAAUCGGGGAAUAUUUAUUGUUGUAGACAAAGGAGACAUAUGCUGCCAGAGUGCUCGAGAAAGAGAAGCUAUCCAAAUUGUGGUCUGGGCUUCAUCAAAUGGAUGGAGGUCGAAAAGCACAAUGACCAUAAAGGACUAUUGUUCCAUUGUUGCACUUGCGACUGUAGGUAUUUCAAGUGGUGUAACGAAUCCCCUGAUGAAAAGUGUCCAUUGCAUGAUGAUGGUGAAUCAAGUGGCAUCAGAAAUGGAGGCGAACGGGUGGAUGAUUUGUCGCAAAUGUUAAAAAUGCUCGCUAAGCUAACUGACGAAAAAGACUUGAAGACCUCGCUCAAAAUAAAUAUGCGCAAAGGAAAACAAGAUUUGGAGAAUGAAAUUGAAUAUGUCAUGUAUUCGGAUGGUUUAGGAUGGUGUAUGACGAAAAAGACUCUUUCGAAUUGUUGUGCAAGUGUUUAUCUAUGAUAUGCUGGUACUUAUAUGUAAUCUGAUUUUGGAAAAAAUUGUGUUAAUGUUUGACGAGCUUCUCAAGGUGUCAACUCUCCCGUAUUUUGUCCGUAAUCUUAAUGAAGUACUUUUCUAUUUCUUCCAGCCAAUUAUGUCAACCCUCAGUGUUCUCAUUUCAGGUUCAUCUUUUAGAUUUAUUGCAC